UGCUCUCUGAUGGCGAGUGGCGAACGGGUGAGUAAUACAUCGGAACGUGUCCGUUUGUGGGGGACAACCACCCGAAAGGGUGGCUAAUACCGCAUAAGACCUGAGGGUGAAAGCCGGGGACCGCAAGGCCUGGCGCGAACGGAGCGGCCGAUGACUGAUUAGCUGGUUGGCGGGGUAAAGGCCCACCAAGGCGACGAUCAGUAGCUGGUCUGAGAGGACGACCAGCCACACUGGAACUGAGACACGGUCCAGACUCCUACGGGAGGCAGCAGUGGGGAAUUUUGGACAAUGGGGGCAACCCUGAUCCAGCCAUGCCGCGUGCGGGAAGAAGGCCUUCGGGUUGUAAACCGCUUUUGUCAGGGACGAAAAGGUGCGGGUUAAGAGCUAGCACUGAUGACGGUACCUGAAGAAUAAGCACCGGCUAACUACGUGCCAGCAGCCGCGGUAAUACGUAGGGUGCGAGCGUUAAUCGGAAUUACUGGGCGUAAAGCGUGCGCAGGCGGUUGGGUAAGACAGAUGUGAAAUCCCCGGGCUUAACCUGGGAACUGCAUUUGUGACUGUCCGACUGGAGUAUGUCAGAGGGGGGUGGAAUUCCAAGUGUAGCAGUGAAAUGCGUAGAUAUUUGGAAGAACACCGAUGGCGAAGGCAGCCCCCUGGGGCAAAACUGACGCUCAUGCACGAAAGCGUGGGGAGCAAACAGG
rnacentral:rRNA from 1 species